rnacentral:rRNA from 1 species
AUUGAACGCUGGCGGCAUGCCUUACACAUGCAAGUCGAACGGCAGCACGGGUGCUUGCACCUGGUGGCGAGUGGCGAACGGGUGAGUAAUAUAUCGGAACGUACCUUAUCGUGGGGGAUAACGCAGCGAAAGCUGCGCUAAUACCGCAUACGCCCUGAGGGGGAAAGCGGGGGACCGUAAGGCCUCGCGCGAUUAGAGCGGCCGAUAUCUGAUUAGCUUGUUGGUGGGGUAAAGGCCUACCAAGGCGACGACGGGUAGCCGGCCUGAGGGGGCGACCGGCCACACUGGGACUGAGACACGGACCAGACUCCUACGGGAGGCAGCAGUGAGGAAUAUUGGACAAUGGGCGCAAGCCUGAUCCAGCCAUGCCGCGUGCAGGAAGAAGCAUCUAUGGUGUGUAAACUGCUUUUGUACGGGAAGAAACACUCCUUCGUGAAGGAGCUUGACGGUACCGUAAGAAUAAGGAUCGGCUAACUCCGUGCCAGCAGCCGCGG